rnacentral:lncRNA from 1 species
GAGCCAGUUCCUUAUAACAAAUCAAUCAAUGAGUAAAUUCAAAUCCUGUUAGUUCUCCUUCUCUGGAGAAACUUGACGGACACAGCAGACACAUCCUCGCCCUUGGCCUGCUGGUCCAUGCUGCUGCUCGGCUCCAGGAACCCCGCCCUCAGGACAGCUGGAGGGAUCCCGUUCAAGACGUCUGCCUCGCUCCUUGUCCUCGGACUCCCCCACCCCAGUGUGGUGGGGGUGGGGUGGUCAGAGGACCAACGGCUGUACGGCUGGAGCAGCUCUGGGCAGGAGGAAGGUCCCAGCCUGUGGCUGAGAGUCCUGGAGCCCCAGCACCUUCCAGGCAGCGUCCUGCGCUGCUGUGCUGGCAGAAGCCGCGCCCUUUCCACCUGCCCCUGGAACGGAGGCCUUCAGUCUGGGCGCCGGGCCCGCUUUCCCAGGAGUAGAGUUACAGCAGCUGGUGCAGCCAACAGGUGUGGGCUCCCCGUUACAGCUGCUGCUGAGCACAUCUGUACCCAUGGGCAGAGGGCUCCAGCAGCAGGGCCCGCC